UUUGGACAAAUUUGGCACUUCUCUCUGUUGUAACAAAUAUGUUGCUCCCAACGUUACAGGUGUGAUCAGGUACCAUGUCACUAUGCUUGCAACUACGGCAACGAUAGUGACAUAUGUGGUCUUCAACAGGGAGAUGACCAAGCUCACUAAGCAAGAUGCUGCUGCUCUGGCUCUCGAGGGAGUUCAGUUUUUGGUUUUACACUUCAUUUGACCCAUGUUUAGAACUGUAACAAGCACUAAAUGUUUCUCAAACGUACUAUAGAUAAAUGGCGGUGGAGGGCAAGAACUACCAAGAUGUCGGGAAAAGCUUGCUGGCAAGGAAUAGGUUUUUCAGAUACGUGCCGCUCCAUACAAUUUUAUCCCUAACUACCGUGUCUGCAGUCAGUGACAAUAGCUUCUUUAGCACCCACACCGAGAGUAUCAGCAGCUUCAAAGCUUCAGUUAUUGGAGGGGAAGGUAGAGAAACUACAGCUUCUGCAAGCAACACGGUUCCAGCGGCUAAGAUAGAAAUCGGAGGCGAUGAAGCAAAUCUGGCAGGUUUUCAAGGCAAAGAUAAUAGCCGCAAACGCCCCUAAGUGAUAGUUUCAAUUCCAUCAAUGUUCAUACAUUUAAGUUUUUUAAAUUCUUAUGUUUUUAUCUAUUUUGAGCUUUGGUUUUUCCCUUUUAUUUUCGGCAAAAUACCUCCCACCAGAAGGAUAGUAACUAAGAUUUUAUAUA